GAGAAAGUCAAUUUGAUGUCAAGAAUUAAGGCUUUGAUCACACUAUUGAGCAAGCAUAACACAUUUCAGCCUAAUAAUUUUCCACGAUUGUUUUUAACGGCUGCUUAUCGCCUCUUGAUAAGCGCAUGCGCACACGCAGUAAUUCCCAUCCCCCACCCCUGACUUUUCAACUCCAGUCAGAGUGACUUCACUUCAACCGUCACUUUUCAAUCAUGAAUCUGACUGCAAUUUUCAACUCUGUACAAACAUCAUAUUCAAGUAGGUGGUGUGAGGACUGCUGCCCUGAGAACGCUGUGUCAGAGACACUUAGGCUGUGUGCAUUUUGGAAUGUUCCAAAUGUGUGUCACUUCCAUAAGGAAGAAGUUCCAAGCCUGCAAUUUAUCCCCUCCUUUCAUGUGUCUGUUAUGACUUUGUGGGCUCAACUGUCAACAACUGUCCAGGGCGAAGUCGGUCUACCCUGAUGGCACUACCUGAUGGCACUACCCUGAUGAUGUCUGUUAGCCAUGGCUGCUGCCCUCAACAUGGUGAGCCAUCCAGAAGUCCCAGCCUGGAGCCAGAGGCUGCUAUUGCAAGUCAGAUGGGAGAUGGCCUACAGUAUGUUAGGCAUCAGAAAAGUGGUGUUCGCAUGAAGGCAGAGUUGCCGCAGGCAAUUAUGAGAUUAGACACUUGACAUUUACUGCGAAAGGUACCAUCAGAGCACCUCUCCCUACCCUGCAGGAUACCUAUACCAGAAGAGUACAACAACGGCCCAAAAGUAUUUCAAAAGACAUUUCACGCUCUGACCACGGACUGUUUAAACCACUGAGGUCAAGCAGACGUCUCUGUUCCCACGUGGCAGACUGAGGGAACACCCACAAAACAGACUGGGGAUGAGUUUCUUUACUCCGCAUCCUGUACACACACAACUCCUUAUACUACAUUACAUAGACUUGCCAGUUGCCAUACUGCACUUACACACACUGCGCUUUUAACCCCCUUAUCUGUGUCAAAUCAGAUAAGGUUGUGGUUGUGUUCAAACCAUGUCUACUGUUGUCUGUCAACAUCCACU